rnacentral:rRNA from 1 species
UCCAGACUCCUACGGGAGGCAGCAGUGGGGAAUAUUGGGCAAUGGACGCAAGUCUGACCCAGCAACGCCGCGUGAAGGAAGAAGGCUUUCGGGUUGUAAACUUCUUUUAAGGGGGAAGAGUAGAAGACGGUACCCCUUGAAUAAGCCACGGCUAACUACGUGCCAGCAGCCGCGGUAAUACGUAGGUGGCAAGCGUUGUCCGGAUUUACUGGGUGUAAAGGGCAUGUAGCCGGGCUGACAAGUCAGAUGUGAAAUCCGGGGGCUCAACCCCCGAACUGCAUUUGAAACUGUUGGUCUUGAGUAUCGGAGAGGCAGGCGGAAUUCCUAGUGUAGCGGUGAAAUGCGUAGAUAUUAGGAGGAACACCAGUGGCGAAGGCGGCCUGCUGGACGACAACUGACGGUGAGGCGCGAAAGCGUGGGGAGCAAACAGGAUUAGAUACCCCUGUAC